rnacentral:rRNA from 1 species
AGUGAACGCUGGCGGUAGGCCUAACACAUGCAAGUCGAACGGCAGCACAGUAAGAGCUUGCUCUUACGGGUGGCGAGUGGCGGACGGGUGAGGAAUACAUCGGAAUCUACUUUUUCGUGGGGGAUAACGUAGGGAAACUUACGCUAAUACCGCAUACGACCUACGGGUGAAAGCAGGGGAUCUUCGGACCUUGCGCGAUUGAAUGAGCCGAUGUCGGAUUAGCUAGUUGGCGGGGUAAAGGCCCACCAAGGCGACGAUCCGUAGCUGGUCUGAGAGGAUGAUCAGCCACACUGGAACUGAGACACGGUCCAGACUCCUACGGGAGGCAGCAGUGGGGAAUAUUGGACAAUGGGCGCAAGUCUGAUCCAGCCAUACCGCGUGGGUGAAGAAGGCCUUCGGGUUGUAAAGCCCUUUUGUUGGGAAAGAAAAGCAGCAGGUUAAUACCCCGCUGCUCUGACGGUACCCAAAGAAUAAGCACCGGCUAACUUCGUG